rnacentral:rRNA from 1 species
AGUGAACGCUGGCGGUAGGCCUAACACGUGCAAGUCGAACGGCAGCACAGUAAGAGCUUGCUCUUACGGGUGGCGAGUGGCGGACGGGUGAGGAAUACAUCGGAAUCUACUUUUUCGUGGGGGAUAACGUAGGGAAACUUACGCUAAUACCGCAUACGACCUACGGGUGAAAGCAGGGGAUCUUCGGACCUUGCGCGAUUGAAUGAGCCGAUGUCGGAUUAGCUAGUUGGCGGGGGAGAGGCCCACCAAGGCGACGAUCCGUAGCUGGUCUGAGAGGAUGAUCAGCCACACUGGAACUGAGACACGGUCCAGACUCCUACGGGAGGCAGCAGUGGGGAAUAUUGGACAAUGGGCGCAAGCCUGAUCCAGCCAUACCGCGUGGGUGAAGAAGGCCUUCGGGUUGUAAAGCCCUUUUGUUGGGAAAGAAAAGCAGCAGGUUAAUACCCCGCUGUUCUGACGGUACCCAAAGAAUAAGCACCGGCUAACUUCGUG